CUAGCAAAAGAAGACCUCUACCCUGUACCAAUCCAGAGCCCUGCGUACCAGUUGGUUUGCAGUCCCUCUGUAGUAGCAGAUGCUUUUGCAUAAUGUCAGUGCACUGUAGAGGUGGAUUUCCAUCAAUGACAGCAGACCUAUGCCUGAAAUCAAGGUAGAGACUGGGAAGUCUCUUAUGUAAGCACCCAGCGGAAUCCAGUGGACAAUGAGUAGCAAGUGGGCACACUUCUGAGGAUGCUUCCGGAAAUCUUACACUACUAUUUUAACCCGUACUCAGUCUUGAAUCACUGGGUAAUAUUUUAGUUGUGGUUUCCUUGCCUACUUUUACGGCAGCUGCCUCAUGUCCCCAUGCUUGCCAAAGAUAAAAUGUCCAUGUGACCUA